rnacentral:rRNA from 1 species
UACGAAAGGGGCUAGCGUUGUUCGGAAUUACUGGGCGUAAAGCGCACGUAGGCGGCACUGUAAGUUGGGGUGAAAACCCGGAGCUCAACUCCGGAACUGCCUUCAAGACUGCAGAGCUGGAAGAUGCGAGAGGUGAGUGGAAUUCCGAGUGUAGAGGUGAAAUUCGUAGAUAUUCGGAAGAACACCAGUGGCGAAGGCGGCUCACUGGCGCAUUUCUGACGCUGAGGUGCGAAAGCGUGGGGAGCAAACAGG